rnacentral:tRNA from 1 species
GUUUUUAUAGUUGAAUUACAACGAGGGUUUUUCGGAUCCUAAGUUCUGGCAAAGUGCCGGAUAAAGAUG